ACCUAAUUAAAACCUAAAACCCCUAAACUUUUCUCUUCCCCUCAUUGUGCCGCACGAACUCUGUAUUCGAUCUUCUUCUUCUCUAAUUUUUCACCGCCUCCUUCCUUCAAUCUGUAAUGAAUCGCCUCUUUCCUUCACUGUCACCUCCUUCCUUCUUCUAUGUCGCCUCAUUCCUUCUUUGUUGUCCCUUCACCAAAACUUGGAGUUGCCUCAUUUCAAGAAUCACUGAGUCACUGCCUCCUUCAAGAACAAUCUGAGCCACCAACUUUGUUCCAAUGGCCUACUGGUCUUUGCCAUCAUCAAAAUUAAUUGUUGCCUUCAUAAAUUUCUCUCAUCCCUCGACGAUUAAGGAUCUAUAAGCCGUAAACAUUUUUUUGCAUUCUUUAAUUUUUAUACUGGCUUUAUGAUUUUGUGAAGAAGGUGCUGGUAUUCCUCUGAUUAUCAUUAGUAUUUUUUAUAUAUAUUUGUAUUGAUUCACAAGGCUUAAUUUGUUUGGAGGAUUUCUGAUUUUUGUGUUGGUUUAAAUGGCCUUGAGAGUUUUAUGUGCUCCUGGUAGCGUUGACAUUUUCAAAUUAGGCUUGGUGCUCUGUUGUUCUCAGAUUUGGCUUGGUGGCUCUAAGGUUUCCGGAUUAGGCUUGGUGGCUUUAAGAUUUUAGGACUGUUGGCUAGGUGGCUUGGAGGUAAAACUGUAUGAUUAUGUUGAUUAAAUCCCCAUUAAUCUGAAGGUUUUAUGAUGAAGUAUAAUUCUGAGGGAAUAUCAUAGGAUUGACUUUUUAUUAGGAAGAAUAUUGAGAAAAGAAAUAUGAUUGAGUUUGCAGUGAUUUGGAGAAGAGAAUUAUGUUGUCUUGUUGAGAUUUGUUGUAUUAUUUAUUUUGAAGUUUAUGGAUUUAUAAUUUUAUAAUGAAUUUUUAUUGAGAAUUAUUUAGUCUCAUGGGGAUUUGAUGUAUUAUGUACAUUUCAAUUGUAUGAAUAAAUGUUGUAUGUA